UACAGAGGUCUCGAGCGUUAGGCGGAAUCACUGGGCUUAAAGCGUGUGUAGGCGGAUCGGUAAGUACCUUGUGAAAUCCCACGGCUUAACUGUGGAACUGCUUGGUAUACUGCCGGUCUUGAGCCAGCUAGGGGCUACCGGAACAAAUGGUGGAGCGGUGAAAUGCGUAGAUAUCAUUUGGAACGCCAAUGGUGAAAACAGGUAGCUGGGGCUGUGCUGACGCUGAGACACGAAAGCCAGGGGAGCAAACGGG
rnacentral:rRNA from 1 species